CUUUCUUGAACGCUUUCCCGCUAAGGUCUGCUCCGAUUUCAAUCUCGGAUUAGGGCUUCCGAUCCUCUGGUGACGGGUCUUUGAGGCCUCUAGUUGGUCUCGAGAAGACGCCUGCCGCAUCCUCGAGCGAUUCGCGAAGCGAAGCCCUCCACGAUCUGGAUAGAUGCUUGAUUAGCAGGAAAGUGCUACGGAUGCUUUGGAUUUGUGUCGGAGUUGUUACUCGACCAGAAGAUUUGGAUUUUCUGAUGCUCUUUUUUUUGUUGGAUCUGUUUUUUCCCAUGAUCCUUAGAAAAUUUUGUCAUGGUGAUUACCUUAAUCUUUUUCCAGACAUGAAAUUUUGAGAACUAAAUGACCGUGUGUAUCUUGAAGACUUGUACAGGAACCGGAGGAACAGGUGAUGGGAACAUCUGGUACCAGGCUGCGAUUCUUUGCUCCGGGAAGAUUCACGUGUGGGUUUUCUUGCCGACCUCCAAGCAUUAGUCUCACAGUCUGCACUAGCGGUAGUGCGAAAAGGGUUUUCAAUACUGUGUUGGCCAUCCACCUACAACCUAACAGCUGAUGCCGAACAUUUCCGAAACUCCCAAGCACAACGGUCCUCCUGUCUCAGAAUGGCUAUGGGAUGCCAUUUGUGGUUGUGCCGCAACCAUCAAGAGGGGACCGGUGAUGCAUAUCUCCACGGUAGCUGUUGAUGAUGAUGUUAAUCCAUGCACUCCAUCAUCCGUCGCCAUCCUGGAAUGGCACUGGAGGAGGCCCCCGCGGUACGUGGAAAUGAAGUGUAUCAGCAGUAGUUGUCGUUUUCAUUCAUAUGCUUGUUGUGAGCUGGAUUGAGAUGAGGCUGAUGAUUUAAGUAAAAAGGCCUCGCGUCGGGGCACUUGGAAGAAUCUGAUCCACUCCCACCAAUCCGAUUCUCUCGUAGCCUAGGAGCUACAACACCAGGCAAGCGCCUAUGAGUUGGUGGAAUCUGAACCGUACGUCUUGAAAGGUACACAUGAUGGACGGUCGGGAUCCACCCCAAUUUGAUGGAACUAGGAUUCUUGCAUCUUUUUCUUUAUGCGCAUCGCCUUCCCCUGGUAGUAUGAGGUGCCAGCUAUCGGGUUUCUAGGCUGUGAGAAGGUAGUGGGCUCAACACAACUUGGUUCAUUUUGCCGACAUAUCUAUCAAGGAUUUUGGUUACGUGAAGUAAUGCGAUGCACACCUCAGAUCAAUGGGCAAAGUGAUGAAUCAUCAUCUUUCUUUAUUUUAUUGCGUCUUCUGUCACUUGUAAUUACGCAAAUUUGUAGAAAAACUAUAAUAUUAAAAUUAGUGCAAUUUCAUAUGCAAGCUUCAAAAUAUAUAAAUAUUUCAUUUCCACUAGAUGCAAUUAUAUAUCCUUGAUUAUUCGUGCGAAUUAUCUAACUCUAUGUAUUCUUUUAAUCAGGGCUGAUGACUGCUUUAAGAUUUUACAUUGCGUGAACUGCAAAAUGAUUGUCCUGUUUCUGAUAUGGACAUUCCUCUGCUCGCGAUGUCUCGUCAUCCGUCAUGGUUUCGUUUGAACAGGCUUCGAUUGGGUAUAUUAUAUUCAUAACUCAGAGAACAAAACAGGUCAGUACUUUUUGUUUCCUUAAUGUUCUACCCUAUUCAAAGUGGAGUAUUUAUUUACUUGUUUUGGCUAGAAUUGCACUAUUUAGAUUAAUUAAAUGAUACCAGAAGCUUUUUUUUAAUGACUUAAAUAACCUAAUAUCAUUUUUCCUUGCGUGCUAGUUGCAUAUGUUUAUUAGCUUUAUAUGGUUAUUAUUAUGUCUAUUGUGUAUGUUUACAUGCUUUCUUCUUAUUUGUAGUGGCACACUUGUUCGAAUAAUCAUGAAACAAAAUCACGCAAAUCCUUGCCUGCUGAUUAAUCUAAAAUUUUUGGGUUUAUACUCUUCAUCCCGAUGCAUUCAAGUCUUUAGUAGUACAGAGUGAUCUAUAUAUUGAUAUCAGACGGGGCUUUCUGUUCAUUGCUACUGUCUCAAAGAUUUGAUCUAUUAAUCUUCGUAAAUUUCACAUGAAGUUGAAGAUCAUAUGCGUCUUCGUCUAUGUCCACAUCCAACAUCAGGCAACUUCUACUUGAACACCUUAACUUGUCCUGUCUUGAUACUAGGAAGCCUCUACACUUGUCGUCCUUGACACUAAGCGUGGACUUUGUUAGGUUGAGGAACUAAAUUAAACCUCCAACACCGAAGAAAAGUUUAGAGGCCUCAUUCAUUUGCCUAAACGUUGACACUUAGAAGUCCAAUAGUGCGUCUUGAGAUACUGUGACUGGUGUGUGUGUAUAAUUUUUUUGAAACGGACAAGGCAACAACCUCAGCUUUCGAGGUACGAACCGUGGAAACAUUAAACAAAUUAGAAGAAGGAUGUAGCGGUUUGUGUGUCUCAUGGCGAAUGAGGUGAAACUUGGACAGGCGUUUCUUUGGGAUUAGCCUGACACUGUGUACUUGGCUUUCACAUGGGAUUGUGAGAGGAUUCAGACUUUUAUGCUUAUUAUCAUGUCAUUCCAUUUCCAGUAUUCAUCGACUUAAUUUAUCCGUGAACUCUAAGGACAGUGGAAAAUUAGUAUUUAUUUUAGAUCCAACGACAUGAUUUAGGGUUAGGGUUUAGAGUUUACCAUUUAGCUAUAAAUAUAAUUUUGUUGAUCAAUAUAUAGCAA